rnacentral:misc_RNA from 1 species
GUUGGUGAACCAGCGGAGGGAUCAUUAAAGAGUUGCAAAACUCCCACAAACCAUCGCGAACCGUACCGAUUCACCGUUGCUUCGGCGGGUUCGCCCGCCGAAGUAGCGACAACUAAACUCUUUAUAAUUAUUGGCCUCUCUGAGUAAGAUUUAUAAAUAAGUCAAAACUUUCAACAACGGAUCUCUUGGUUCUG